CCCACACCUUAACACUUCACAAUAGAGAUUCAACAUGAGUUGUGCGGGGGAUAUGCAGAUCGUGACAGUGCCCUUAUAAAACAGGCCCCAGAAAACGACCUUGCCCCUUCCACCACAAAAGUGCCAUCUAUGGACAAAUAUGUAGGCAAUCACCAGACACCAAAUAUGCUCAAACCUUGAUCUUGGACUUUCCAGCUUCCAGACAAUGAGAGAUAUAUUUCAGCUAUUUAUAAGGAUUUUGUUAGAGUCUGAACAGACUAAGAUAGGUGCCCAGGAGAAGCAACAAUGAGACCAUGUUGGUGGAGCACAGUCCCUCUUCGAAUAGUCACAGCCAAAUAAAGAAACAACUUCUUCUGAGCAAGAGCGAGUAGACACAGCCAUCAAGAGCAUGCCCUUCCGCAUGCUUCAGACGGAAGAUUGCUGUGGUUCGGAUGUGAUUUGUCCCUUGAAGGUUCAUGUGCUGGAAGCUGGUCCUCAAGCACUUGUGUCCUCUGCUUGGUUAGCAACAUUACUCCUUUUGGCAUAUCAGCUCCUUUGAUAGCAUCUUUAUUCUUCAAAAUAGUCAAGAUUGUCGACUUUGCCAUCUUAUACUUCAAGGCCAGAUCAUUCAAACAAAUACCACACUUAUGCUUUUCUACAAUUUCCAUCUUCAAUUCAAUGGUUAUUUUCUUCAAAACUUUCCCCUUACCAGUUUUGCUCUGCACUUUCUUGUCACCUUCAUUACUUCUCUGUGCUUUUUUUUUUCCACCAUGCUUGCUCUUCAUUUUCUUUGAAGCAAUGGAUGGAAUAAUACUGUACAAUACUGUAUAUGCUAAAAAGCAAACAAAAAGGCUUCACACCAAGUAUGCACAGGUCUGUCUGUGAUUGAAAUCUCAACUGGAGGAAGCCAUGACUACAUAUCAGAGUGGGGAAGAUGGCCGCAGUCAUGUUCCUUGCUGACAGGCCCCCUGAGCCAGACCCCCACACAAGCGGAUCCACUACCUGCAUCCACAGAAGGACAGAGAUAACAGGAAGCCAGCAGCUGACCUGCUGCUUUUACCACCGCCCUGCUUACCAGCCAGCCACAUGCCCAUCACUUAUGAUGAAAAGGAAAAGUGUGGCAUGGGUUAAUCUGAAAAUGGAAUUAAUAACUCCAAAGUUUUGUAGCCUGUAAUAAAUGAUUAUUGUAAGCACAUAUUUUCUUUUUUCUUUUUUUUUUCUUUUUUCUUUUUUUUUUUGGAACCAGGGAUCAAACUCGGGUCCUUGUGCUUGCGCAGCAGGCAGCGAAACCCCUGAGCUAAAUCCCCGGCCUGAGCACAUAUUUUCUUGUUAGCGCUGCCAACAACAUGAUUCCCUAUCUGAUACAGAAAAGUUUUAGAUAACUUAAUAGUUUGAAUAUUAAGGUAGUUGUAGAAA
rnacentral:lncRNA from 1 species